UACAGAGGUCUCAAGCGUUGUUCGGAUUCAUUGGGCGUAAAGCGCACGUAGGCGGCUUUCUAAGUCAGGGGUGAAAUCCUGGAGCUCAACUCCAGAACUGCCUUUGAUACUGGAGAGCUUGAGUCCGGAAGAGGUGAGUGGAACUCCGAGUGUAGAGGUGAAAUUCGUAGAUAUUCGGAAGAACACCAGUGGCGAAGGCGGCUCACUGGACUGGUAUUGACGCUGAGGUGCGAAAGCGUGGGGAGCAAACAGGG
rnacentral:rRNA from 1 species